AUUCCAGCUCCAAUAGCGUACACUAAAGUUGUUGCAGUUAAAAAGCUCGUAGUCUAAUGUAUGGGAGUUGCGGUGUGGGUGUUUCGUUGGUUUCGCCGACUAGACAAUACUCGCUCCGCUUCCCGCUUGUUUUGCUCUCUUUUAAAGAAGGCAAAUGUUUCACUGUAAGUAAAACAACUCGCUCAACAGCAAGGUUAUCUUGAUAUGAAUUAGUAUGGGAUGAUGAGAUAGGCUCGGUCCGUAUUUUGUUGGUUUUAGUGGUCUGAGAAUGAUGAAGAGGGACAAUUGGGGGUAUUCGUAUUUACAUGUCAGAGGUGGAAUUCUUGGAUUUUGGAAAGACGAACUAAUGCGAAAGCAUCUACCAAAGAUGUUUUCAUUA
rnacentral:rRNA from 1 species